rnacentral:rRNA from 1 species
CUACGAAGGGGGCUAGCGUUGUUCGGAAUCACUGGGCGUAAAGCGCGCGUAGGUGGAUCAAUUAGUUGAGGGUGAAAUCCCGGGGCUAACCUCGGAACUGCCUUCAAUACUGUUGAUCUUGAGACCGAGAGAGGUGAGUGGAAUUCCUAGUGUAGAGGUGAAAUUCGUAGAUAUUAGGAAGAACACCAGUGGCGAAGGCGGCUCACUGGCUCGGUACUGACGCUGAGGUGCGAAAGCGUGGGGAGCAAACAGGAUUAGAAACCCUAGUAGUCC